UACGGAGGGUGCGAGCGUUGUCCGGAAUCACUGGGCGUAAAGGGCGCGUAGGCGGCGCGGGGAGUCAACGGUGAAAGCUCGGCGCUCAACGCCGAGUCGGCCGUCGAUACUCCCGUGCUUGAGCACUGUAGAGGCAGGUGGAAUUCCGGGUGUAGCGGUGGAAUGCGUAGAGAUCCGGAGGAACCCAGAGGCGAAGGCGGCAUCCUGGCCCACGACUGACACUCAGACACGACAGCAUGGGGAGCGAACGGG
rnacentral:rRNA from 1 species